CGGCACACAGAAACCCUAGGGUUUGUAAUUUUUCUGCAAACAGUUCAAGUUUUUAGGCUUAUCGGGCUUUGGGCUUGUAAAUUGGGUAGUGUAUUGGGUUAGGUUGUAUCCUGGGCUUUUAGGUUUUUUAUUUGGGCCAUUUGAGCUUGUGAAUUUGGACUGACAUCUUUGUAAUUGGAAAUUUCAUUUAUUUAUUUAUUUGUUUGUUGUUUGAGCCGGACAAAAAUGGGCUAUUACAAUAGACAUGAAGAAUAUCAAAAACAAAUAUUAGUAUCGGUGUG
rnacentral:lncRNA from 1 species